UUCAUUCGUUAAAGGGUUAAAAAUGUCAUGAUAAGGCUCAUAUCUCAAGAGCCACUUGUCACCAUGGGAAGAAAGCAAUAAUUAGGGUGUAAAUCUCAAGUGCCAAGUGUCACCAUCUUAGAAAGCCAAGUGUCACAAUCCUAUGGAUUUAAGGGCACUAUAUAAGAAUGCCUUGGGUUGGGUUUUUGGCCACCAAAUUAAGGGGGUAAGUUGCUUAUAAAGGAGGGGAAACUCUGCUGUAAAGAAGGGAAGGAAACCCUGCCCGAGUAGGAGCCAAAAGCAAGCCGUUGGAAGGCACGAGCCCCUUGAAAUCCGUGCAAAACAGUAACCAAAACUGCAAGGUUUGGAUACAAAAAGGUCUCGGUUUUUAUAGAACAGUCCACUUGGAGCGACGUUUGGCCGUGAAUUUGUGCAACCAAGAAGUGGGAAGCUUCGAUCUGUCAGGCUCGGGCUCAAAGGGAGAAGGCCUAGAGGCGGCGCGAGUGUAGUUAUCUUGUUUAGGCGUCUCUUAUGAUGUUGUAGUAUGUUACAAGAUUUGUACUCUUAACUUUGACAAUAUUUUGUCUCGUGGAGAAUGAAGUCUACUUUCCCUGCUAUCUUGAUAAAUUGUGUGUGUGAAUGUUUAUUUUAUGGAAGUCCCAACAUU